ACCAAAAGUGAGGUGCUUCUCAGUAAACUUUUUGCGCUGCAGAAAUUGAUGUUCAUGCAAAUGAUCCUCCUAAUCUAUGCUAAACAUUAAAAAAUGCACUACUCAGCCACAGCCUGCCUUUGUAAAGCUGGGAUGUGCUGCCACGAAGACUCCCCCUGGUAUCAGAUGAAACAAUGCCAGCUACUCCAGCAGGACCAAGAAGAAAGCCUGAGCUGCAGCUGGAAUUCAGAAAUAGACCGGGAUUCUGCUUGCAGAAGACAGGGCUGGAUUCUGGACAUGCUUUCAUGAUGGCUUAGGAGAGGACAUUUCUAAAACAACCACAGCUACGUGAGAAGACAGAUGUUUGUUGGGUGGAUCUACUGUCAGGCUUCCCUUCCUCCACCUUUAAAAAGACAAAUCUCCAUGAAGAACAGAGCUGAAGCACUGUCAUUCCUGUCCAGCUGCUGAAGAUAGGAGAAGCCAAACAGAAGGUUGCUGUAUUAGGAUGCGUAGAGUGGAGAGGAAAACCAGAAUCCUUUCUCAGGUCAUGCGAGAGAAUUCCAGAAGCUGCAGCAAAGCAAUCAGUGAGCACGCAUCACUGCAGGAAGAAAGCUGCUGGUGAUUCAUCCUGGCUGGAUGGGGAUCUGUGGCUUCGGAGCAUGAGGAAUUCAUCUGCUGUGUGGUUCUGCUCACUCGGAAGUUGCACGUGGCUAUGAUAUAUAGCACAGAACCGAUUGUGAGGCUUCUACAUGAUCCUGACAUUUUUCAAGUGUAUCAGCACUGAAAAAAAGUCUCAAUUCAAGUGUGAAUUUAAGAGCUAGGUGAAAGAACAUGUCCCUUUUCGCACCAAGGAAGAUCAGUCAAUAAAAACAGAUUAAACGAAACAUUAAGUGGAGCAAUUCCAAGCACAAGAAAAACGAUGCCAAGAUCAAAAAGAGUAUCUCAUUUCAGAAAUACCUCCCUUCCUCUCCACAGUUAGAUGCAAUCGCAGAGCAGAACAUAACUAAAAGGAUUCCGAGCAUCCAUCAAAGAGAACAGCACCCCAGAUCAGAGCUGGGAAAGGACUGUUCCCUUCCUCCAAAACAUUUCAUUAUCUGCAUUCCUGAUUGAUUAGGAGAUCCCUUUUUAGAGAGGAUGGAGGACAUCCAACAGGCACGUGUGCCUCCAGGUGCCUCCUGCACAGACCUUUCCGUGCACAUCUAUUCUAGGUUCACAACACCCACCGUAAAUCUUCCCCUUCUUCCACCUCAGCUUGUAUAAGCUGCUACCUACCAACUCUUUUAGAUUAUGCAUAGCAACAUGAUGGAGAAAACAGAAACAGAGAGUUUGGGGAUGAUUUCCCUCCUUCCACUCUUUGUUUGGUUUUCUGGAACUACUUCAUCCCAAACAUUUGUAAAUAGUGCCUGGAGUUACAUUCCGAGUUCCAGCAGUAAACACUAAACUAGCUAAUACAUAUAGACAGAUCCCUGCUCUUCCAGUGUAUCCAGGCAACUCUGCAACACAAAGUUAAAGCACAGCUAUUUGUUCAAAAAGUGUUUUCACAGCUAUUUCCUCUUCCCCCCCUUGACUUUUUCCACUAGGCGCUACUUGUAUUUAUCAUCUGGAGGUUCGGUUCCCUUCUUCCCUUUUGAAAUCCAUGCAGCAGCUCAUUUUAAGAGCGGCAAGGCACAGACAUGUGCUUUGCAAUGAACUUUGAUUUAAGGCACGAAGAAGGAAGGAAAAAGAGUAAAAAUUCCACAAGAGCAUCUGAACAUUACUCCUCUCAAACAUACUUGCAACUCUGGAAACAAAAUCAUUUCCAAAUGCUAAUACCAUAGGAAGACAGAAGUAUUUACACAGAUACUAAAGCAAGCAGGAAAGGCAGCUUGUUGUAUCCCACCUAAGAGUAGGUGAAGUUUCUAUAAUAAAAGAAGUUCCCUCAGAGAACAUAGGUUAGGUUGAACUGUUGUUUUUCCAAAGGAAAACAUCAAUUUUUAUUGAAUUUUCCUAUUGAGAAAGCUUUGGAGCAAAGCCAGCAUCUCAAAAUGAAGUGUUUUACAUUUCAAAAUGUCAAUUCAAAAUGAAAAUAGUUACUUUGAUAUAUUGAGUUUAUUUUCAUAGAAAAUGGUGGCGUUUUAUGUUGAUACCACAAUCUACUGUAGGGAACCUGCUUCAGAAGGGGGGUUGGACUAGAUGACGUCCAGAGGUCCCUUCCAAUCCCUAUAACACUGUCAUACUUAUUUGAAAAAUCUCUUUGGAAUAUCGUUUUUCUGUUAUAUAGUUCAAAAUUUCACCUUUUUGCUUCCUACUCUGAUUUCAAACAUAUUCCUACCAUUAAAGCUUUCUGCUGUAGUAAAAAGUCUAUUUGUUGAA